rnacentral:rRNA from 1 species
AUACGGAGGGUGCAAGCGUUACUCGGAAUCACUGGGCGUAAAGCGCGCGCAGGCGGCUUGAUAAGUUGGAUGUGAAAGCCUACGGCUCAACCGUAGAACUGCAUCCAAAACUGUCAAGCUAGAGUCUGGGAGGGGAAGAUGGAAUUAGUUGUGUAGGGGUAAAAUCCGUAGAGAUAACUAGGAAUACCAAAAGCGAAGGCGAUCUUCUGGAACAGUACUGACGCUGGGGCGCGAAAGCGUGGGGAGCAAACAGGAUUAGAAACCCCGGUAGUCC